rnacentral:rRNA from 1 species
GAUCAUGGCUCAGGACGAACGCUGGCGGCGUGCCUAACACAUGCAAGUCGAACGGGGUACCCCUGAAGGAGUUUUCGGACAACUGAAGGGACUACCUAGUGGCGGACGGGUGAGUAACGCGUGAGCAACCUGCCUAUCAGAGGGGGACAACAGCUGGAAACGGCUGCUAAUACCGCAUAAAAUAACGGGGAGGGCAUCUUUCUGUUAUCAAAGAUUUAUCGCUGAUAGAUGGGCUCGCGUCUGAUUAG